rnacentral:rRNA from 1 species
UACGUAGGGGGCAAGCGUUGUCCGGAUUCAUUGGGCGUAAAGAGCGUGUAGGCGGCCAGGUAGGUCGGUUGUGAAAACUGGAGGCUCAACCUUCAGAGGUCGACCGAAACCAUCUGGCUAGAGUCCGGGAGAGGAGAGUGGAAUUCCGUGGUGUAGCGGUGAAAUGCGCAGAUAUCAGGAAGAACACCCGUGGCGAAGGCGGCUCUCUGGGACGGUACUGACGCUGAGACGCGAAAGCGUGGGGAGCGAACAGG